rnacentral:rRNA from 1 species
GAGUUUGAUCUUGGCUCAGAACGAACGCUGGCGGCAGGCUUAACACAUGCAAGUCGAACGCGUGUAGCAAUACACGAGUGGCGCACGGGUGAGUAACGCGUGGAUAUCUGCCUUUUGGUUCGGAAUAACCCCGGGAAACUGGGGCUAAUACCGGAUGGUUCCUACGGGAUAAAGAUUUAUCGCCAAAAGAUGAGUCCGCGUACGAUUAGCUAGUUGGUGAGGUAAUGGCUCACCAAGGCGACGAUCGUUAGCUGGUCUGAGAGGACGAUCAGCCACACUGGGACUGAGACACGGCCCAGACUCCUACGGGAGGCAGCAGUGGGGAAUAUUGGACAAUGGGGGCAACCCUGAUCCAGCCAUGCCGCGUGAGUGAUGAAGGCCUUCGGGUUGU